CCCUUAGAUGUUCGGGGCCGCACGCGCGCUACACUGAAGGAAUCAGCACGUCUUUCUCCUUGUCCGAAAGGACUGGGUAACCCGCUGAACCUCCUUCGUGCUAGGGAUUGGGGCUUGUAAUUCUUCCCCAUGAACGAGGAAUUCCCAGUAAGCGCGAGUCAUAAGCUCGCGUUGAUUACGUCCCUGCCCUUUGUACACACCGCCCGUCGCUACUACCGAUUGGAUGGUUUAGUGAGAUCCUCGGAUCGGUCCCGGCGCGGCCUCUGGUCGUGCCGGAGUGCCGAAAAGAAUGUCGAACUUGAUCAUCUAGAGGAAGUAAAAGUCGUAACA
rnacentral:rRNA from 1 species